rnacentral:lncRNA from 1 species
AUUAACUUUGAAUUGAGCUGUAAUUUUUUUUUUUAUGUUUUAAAAUCAUUAAAUCCACGUGGCUAUGGUCUUUCUUUUUCCUUCCAAUCACUUAUCACACUUUUUCCUCAAGUCCUUAUGAAAUGCAAACAUUUUACAACAUUUUACCCCAACCGUUAAGUGUAUUGAGACGGCGUUAACUUUGAACUGAGCUGUAAUUUUCUUUUUUAUGUUUUAAAAUC